AGUUACUCCUUGUAGUCUUUGAGGUGCACAAUUAUGGCUCAUGAGCAAUGGUUGGGCUUGGGAUGGGCUUACAAGCCAUGGCUGAGGACUUUAAUUUCUACUACUAUGUCAGUCAGGAUUCUUUCCUGGUGAGAGAAGCGUGCCCCGAAAAUUCGUACGUUUCUCAGACUGAUGGGCUCUAAUAAGGUUGAGGUGAAUUUGGCUGUUGCAGUGGCCAGGAUCAUACUGUGCACAAUCGAGCAAAAGGUGUUGCCUCCCAACAAUUGGUGAGCCUGACGAAGACUUCUUCGUCUUCGGCCUAUACGCCACCAACUCCACCGGGGCCGUGCUCAGAAAGUGCCCAAACGAACAAUCCUUUGAGUUCUCAGAGUUGGAGGGUCUGGAGGAGAGUCUGUCCGGUUUGUGGUCUAGCAUCAAGUGCCCAAGCAACAAUGGACAAUCAAUGUGGAAGUCCUUAUGGAAGAAUAAUGGGGUCUGCUCAAACCUCAGCCUAUUCAAGUACUUUAAGCAAGGCAUAAUCAUCCACUGUGAAAUCAACCUCAUCAAAGCCCUCAGAUUCCAAGAUCAGUUACUCCUAAACCUCGGUUUUGUUUUUCUAAUCACUCUAAUUGACUAAGACUGGCUAUCAUGCACCACACACAAUAAGUGCUACUUCUUCGGUAAUAGAUCACAUGCUCAGACAAUCAGAAUGGCGCAACAUAAGAGGAAACAUGAAGUAGUAUUCCACUGUAAUCUCCCUCACUUAAUAGAGCAAAGAUCAAAUAGAAUGUAUAUCUUUUUUUUUUGUGCAUGUAGUUUCAUCUUCACAAAGAAAUCAAUGUAAAAUUCCCAUCCAUAGUUUUUUUAUUUUGGCAAGAACAUGGUCACUAAUAGUUUAGAGUGGAUCUUCAGGUGAGGGUAGUAUAGAUUCAUUUGUGUUUUGAUAUUUAUUGAUUUUGUUGAGAAGGUGGGGAGCAUUGCAGGCAUCGUGCCGAAUGGUCGAUUAUACCAACUUGUAGAGAUAAAAAAAGCACUGAAGCAUGAGUUAGGGGCGGUGGUUGGGAUUCGAUGUAGUACAAACUUGGAGAGAGAAUUCCAACUCUAUGAAGUCUAUGUCUGCAUCGACAAAGUUGAUGCCACAAGUCUGAUACCUUGCUCGAGCUUGCCUGACUUUAAAUGCCCAGACGAGAUACGCUUCCUUGCCUUCAAUCUCCAAAUGCUCAAGAAAGAUGUGAUCAGUAACUCACACAAUCUCCAAGUUGAAUGAUGGCCAUGGCACUAAGAGAACAUAUUGAUUUUCUUCUCA